rnacentral:rRNA from 1 species
CCUACGGGUGACAGCAGUGAGGAAUAUUGGUCAAUGGACGAGAGUCUGAACCAGCCAAGUAGCGUGAAGGAUGACUGCCCUAUGGGUUGUAAACUUCUUUUAUAUGGGAAUAAAAUGUUCCACGUGUGGGAUUUUGUAUGUACCAUAUGAAUAAGGAUCGGCUAACUCCGUGCCAGCAGCCGCGGUAAUACGGAGGAUCCGAGCGUUAUCCGGAUUUAUUGGGUUUUAAGGGAGCGUAGGUGGAUUGUUAAGUCAGUUGUGAAAGUUUGCGGCUCAACCGUAAAAUUGCAGUUGAAACUGGCAGUCUUGAGUACAGUAGAGGUGGGCGGAAUUCGUGGUGUAGCGGUGAAAUGCUUAGAUAUCACGAAGAACUCCGAUUGCGAAGGCAGUUCACUGGACUGCAACUGACACUGAGGCUCGAAAGUGUGGGUAUCAAACAGGAUUAGAUACCCCUGUAGUC